UAACUGCCGCCUUUAACAUUCGAAAGGAAGGGUUUUCCGCCAUUAACCUCACAUCACCUCUCUCCUCGUUCCUUGUUCUUUCAAUUUUUGAUGAUUUGAUGAACAUGGAUUCAUCCACUUGCCCCUUCUGUCAUUUAUCUGUUCCUUCCUCUGAACUCCAAUGGCACGCCAACGCCCAUUUCGACGACAACAACACCGAUUAUAGCUCCCCUUCGGCUAGUAGCUUGCAUUUUUAUGGUGGAGUAAGGGGUAGGGAUAAUGCGGUGUUGAAAAUGGAUGAAAAGAUCUCUUGCUUAGUUGAUGUGCAAAGAAGGGGAGAGUUUUACAAGGUUGAAAGAGGUUUGAUGACCUUGUUGAGAGACUGUUUGGAGUCUGAGGCUGAAAACACAAGAAGCAUUUUGACAUGUUAUGUUGAUCAUUUCCAGAGCCUUGAGUUUAAGGAUGUUGGAUGGGGCUGUGGAUGGCGUAACAUUCAAAUGCUUAGCUCUCACUUAAUGACACAAAGGCCAGCAGCAAGAGAAGCUAUGUUUGGCCGUUCAGGGUUUGUUCCUGAUAUCCCAUCACUCCAGAGGUGGCUUGAGAUUGCUUGGGAAAGGGGUUUUGAUGCACCUGGCGCUGAACAGUUUAACCAUGUUAUCUAUGGCUCAAAAAAAUGGAUUGGAGCUACUGAAUGUGCUGCCCUUUUGCGUUCCUUUGGUCUCCGGGUGAGGGUAGUGGAUUUUGGACCUAAGAAAUCUGAGGAACUCUAUCUAUCUGUCCCUGGUUCAAGUGUUGGGGAAAAGGAUCUUGUGAAAAGUAAUUAUGGAAGGAAGAGGAAAGCACCAAAUACUUAUGGACCAAUGGAUAGAUAUCUGUCUCGUGGUGUUGCUCAAACAAGUUGCAACCAAAAUGCAAAGUCAGGCCCUUCUCUUGUCCAUGUUGGUGACGCUGUGGAUAAAGAAGGUAGUGGUAAUAGAGGGCUAUACAACACUGAGAAACUAAAUGAGGGUCACCAAGUUCUUAUGGACUUUGUGUGGAAUUACUUCUCCCAUAAAAGCACUGUUCAAUUUGAUCACAAGCGUGUUCUUAUCAGUGAGAAAACGCCACUGUACUUUCAGCAUGAUGGACAUUCAAGAACAAUAGUUGGAAUUCAAGUCAAACAUCAACGGUCUGGAAUUCCACAAUAUAAUCUCCUGGUUCUAGAUCCCGGUCAUAGAACUGGUGCUCUAGAAAGAUCUCUUAUAGAGAAAGUUGGAUGGCAGAAACUCAUAAAAAGAGGAGUGCACACACUAAAGAAGCCACAAUACCAGUUGUGUUAUGUUGAUCCUGGAAUUGCCAGUAAGGAGGAGAUGGAGAAACUCAAGACAAUUGAUAGCGUCUUCAUUGAAUUUUAAAGAACCAUACAAAGGACCUUGCUACAUCAAGAUGAAACACAUCAAAUUUGAGUUUUAGACGGCUGUAAUUGCAGUGGGAUUAAAAACAGAAACUUGAACAUGGUAUUUGCCAGGACCUGUUAAUGAUGGAACCAGAAUCGGAGCAAUUAAAGGAAGCAACUGCUUCUACAUUUGGUCAUGGUCUUCACCAUUUUCAUACACAAAAUUCUGAUAAUAUUGUGAUUAUUCAUUUACUUUGGUGUAUAUAGUUUUUUCCCUUUUAUUCAAAAAAGUAUAGGCUCUCAUCUGUAAGAUUUUUCUGAGUUAUUGUGAUUUUUCAGGCUUUUAUUUA